UGAGGAAUAUUGGUCAAUGGGCGAGAGCCUGAACCAGCCAAGUAGCGUGCAGGAAGACGGCCCUAUGGGUUGUAAACUGCUUUUAUGUGGGGAUAAAGUGCGUGACGUGUCAUGCAUUGCAGGUACCACAUGAAUAAGGACCGGCUAAUUCCGUGCCAGCAGCCGCGGUAAUACGGAAGGUUCGGGCGUUAUCCGGAUUUAUUGGGUUUAAAGGGAGCGUAGGCCGUUUGGUAAGCUUGUUGUGAAAUGUAGGAGCUCAACUUCUAGAUUGCAGCGCGAACUGUCAGACUUGAGUGCGCACAACGUAGGCGGAAUUCAUGGUGUAGCGGUGAAAUGCUUAGAUAUCAUGAAGAACUCCGAUUGCGAAGGCAGCUUACGGGAGCGCAACUGACGCUGAAGCUCGAAGGUGCGGGUAUCGAACAGG
rnacentral:rRNA from 1 species